rnacentral:misc_RNA from 1 species
CCUACGUUGUAUUAUACCGCAUAACUUUCUACUGGAUGUACCGAUUUUGAUAAUUCUUUUUUUGUUGGAAAGGGGAUAUCCCUAGUUUGGUACCAUGAUAAGGAAACCAGGAUCUGAUGAUGGGAUCCCAGAUAAAUCGAGGAAAACUCUCGAAAAUCCGCAAUAACUUUUCACUGGGUGUACCGAUUUUGAUAAUUUUUAAUUUAAUCGAAAGCUGAUAUUUAUCAUGUGG